AGAGAGAGAGAGCGCCGAAGAUAGGAGGAGCACCGCCGCUCACGGCAACGGCGGCGGUGGAGGCGACGACGGGUGUCUCUCGCCGGCGUCACAUCAUGGUCCGGCGAUGGUGAUUGUUUGACGGAAACAAUGGAUGCUAUUUAUGUUGAAGACGGUGAUGGUGGUAGCUUCGGGUGUUCGACUCAGCUCCGGUGACGGCUGUGGAAUAAUGGUGGUGCUGAUAUUCGAUUUCAGAUUAUGGUGCGGGUCAAGUAUGGUUCGAGUAUUCCAGCAGGUUAAGCGGGUCUCAACUUAGUCAACCCGAGUCAACUCGGUUGACUCGGUCAACACACAGUCGGAACGGGUCAGACCUGGAGCCGGUCAACUCAGUCGAACGAGCGGCUUUCGGUUGGAGUUUGGGUUUUGGUUUGGCUUGCUUUAGUGUGAUUCAACUCGGUUGACUCGGUCAAACCGAGUCAACUCAGUCAAGCUCAGUCAACAGCGAGUCAACUCGGUCAAACCGAGUUAACUUGAUAAACCCAGUCACGUUCUAACGCGAUAGUUAUGGUAAAGGUUUAACGGCAAAAGUUGUUUUGUUAUUUUCAUAUAAUAUUACGUGAACGAGCUCGAACCGAUUUAAUUUA